ACGGAAAGAAGGAAAAGGAGGGAAAGGAGGGAGAGGGGGGAAAGGAGGGAAAGGAGGGAAAGGAGGGAAAGGAGGGAAAGGAGGGAAAGGAGGGAAAGGAGGGAAAGGACGGAAAGGAGGGAAAAGAGGGAAAAGAGGGAAAGGAGGGAAAGGAGGGAAAAGAGGGAAAGGAGGGAAAAGAGGGAAAGCAUGGAAAGGAGGGAAAGGAGGGAAAGUAGGGUAAGGAGGGAAAGAAGGGAAAUGAGGAAAAUGAGGGAAAGGAGGGAAAAGAGGAAAGGAGGGAAAGGAGGGUAAGGAGGGAAAGGAGGGAAAGGAGGGAAAGGAGGGUUAAGAGGGAAAGGAGGGUUAAGAGGGAAAGGAGGGAAAAUAGGGAAAGGAGGGAAAGGAGGGAAAUGAUGGAAAGGAGGGAAAGGACUGAAAGGAGGGAAAUGAUGGAAAGGAGGGAAAAUAGUGAAAGGAGGGAAAGGAGGGAAAGGAGGGAAAGAAGGGAAAGGAGGGGAAAGGAGGGAAAGGAGGGAAAGGAGGGAAAGGAGGGACGGGUGGGAAAGGAGGGAAAGGAGGGAAAGGAGGGAAAGGAGGGAAAGGAGGGAAAGGAGGGAAAUGAGGGAAAGGAGGGAAAUGAUGGAAAUGAGGGAAAGGAGGGAAAGGAGGGAAAGGAGGGCAUUGGACUACUUGCUGAUCCGUUGGUUGAUGCAUCCUCUCUCGAGCCACAAUUUGUCGCGCACACGAAAGUGUCUUUCGGAGCAGCAGCCCAAGACAGGCACAGUACACGCCGACUUAAGCACAAUAAUAAACGCACCAACUGGCUCUUUGCAAAUAACGCCUUCAUUAUUUUUUUCCAUUGAAUUUAUACUCUAAAAAUGCUGACCGUCGUCGAUCAGCAUAUUUUUCUUAGUCUAUUCUUCUAGCCUAUGUUUCCAUUAAAUCGUUAAAUUCCAUUUAAUCGUUAAGCGCGUUUAAUCGCUGGCGCGUUGCAUAACGUAGCUAUUCAGCAAGUAUUGCUACCUAGCAACGUUUUGUUUUUAAGGCUAAAUUAUCGUAAGCGAAAGACGGAAAAAAGGAAAAGGAGGGAAAGGAGGGAGAGGAGGGAAAGGAGGGAAAGGAGGGAAAGGAGGGAAAGGAGGGAAAGGAGGGAAAGGAGGGGAAGGAGGGAAAGGAGGGAAAGGAGGGAAAGGAGGGAAAGGACGGAAAGGACGGAAAGGAGGGAAAAGAGGGAAAAGAGGGUAAAGAGGGAAAGGAGGGAAAAGAGGGAAAGCAGGGAAAGGAGGGAAAGGAGGGAAAGGAGAGAAAGGAGGGAAAGGAGGGAAAUGAGGGAAAGGAGGGAAUGGAGGGAAAGGAGGGAAAGGAGGGAAAGGAGGGAAAGGAGGGAUAAGAGGGAAAGGAGGGAAAGGAGGGAAAGGAGGGACGGGAGGGAAAGGAGGGAAAGGAGGGUAAAGAGGGAAAGGAGGGAAAAUAGGGAAAGGAUGGAAAAGGAGGGAAAGGAGGGAAAGGAGGGAAAGGAUGGAAAGGAGGGAAAGGGAGGAAAUGAGGGAAUGGAGGGAACGGAGGGCAUUGGACUACUCUCGAGCCACAAUUUGUCGCGCACACGAAAGUGUCUUUCGGAGCAGCAGCCCAAGACAGGCACAGUACACGCCGACUUAAGCACAAUAAUAAACGCACCAACUGGCUCUUUGCAAA